GUGGCUGAGGGCGCUGCGCGUUGUUGGGGUGAGAGCUGCCCGGAGGCACAACCCUCCUGCUUCGGCUGUGACGUCUUUUGAGGCAGUUCCCGCUCUUCUGUCAGAACUCGCUGCCCUACAAAAGGCUGUGGGAGGCAGCGGGGAAUGUUUUAAAGAGAUUUUUCUGUCAGGUUUCUUUCAUCUGGGCCAAGGAACUGAUGAAGCUGAUGGCUUGGCUGCAAGUACGUUAACAUCAGUGAAAGGGGCAUGGAGGAGCUACCAGGGAAGAAGUAUUUCUUAGCCUUACACUUAAACUGAACACAACAUCAGGAACUUCUGGAACCAGCUUGCACCCGUUGGCUCUUGUCCUAUCACUGGAUGUCACUGAGAAGAUCCUGGCUCCAUCCUCCUGACACUCACCCUUUAUGUAUUUAUAAACUUCAAUGAGGUCACCCCUCAGUCUUCUCUUCAAACUAAAGAGACCCAGCUCCCUCAGCUUUUCCUUGUAAGGGAGAUGCUCCGCUCCCUUCAUCAUCUCUGUGGCCCUGCACUGGACUCUCUCAAGCAGUUCCCUGUCCUUCUUGAACUGAGGGGCCCAGAACUGGACACAAUAUUCCAGAUGCAGUCUCACCAGGGCGGAGUAGAGGGGGAUGAGAACCUCUCUCAACCUACUAACCACACCCCUUCCAGUAUGCCUCAGGAUGCUAUUGGCCUUCUUGGCCUCAAGGGCACAAUGGUGACUCAUGGUCACCCUGCUGUCCACCAGAACCCCCAGGUCCCUUUCCUCUGCACUGCUCUCUAGCAGGUCACUCCACAACCUAUACUGGUACGUGGGGUUGUUCUUGCCCAGAUGCAAGACUCUACGCUUGCUAACUCAUGCUAACGUGAGUAAAAAUCUUGGAAGAAAACGUGUAUUCUAAAUUUUGUUUUUAUUUUCAAAAAUCCCAUUAGACAUCUUACAGAGAACAGAGUGACACCAGUGAACAAAGUGUGUGAAUCACUUGGUGUUAAGUACAGUUGCUAACGGCAAAACUAAAAUUGAAAAAGAGAAGGAAAAUAAACAGUAGGUAUUUUUUCUUCUCUAGCACCUAGGUAGUACUGUGAGAAAAGGAGCCUUUUUCUUCUCCUAGUAAUGCAAAAUAAAGUUAAACUUUUCUUAGAAGAACUGAACAUGGAAUGUUUCAAAGAAAAACCCACCAUACUAUGACUCUUCCCUAGGGGUACAGCAGCCCUUGUAAGUAAACAAGCUUUAGCACCAUGCUGUGGGUGCAGGUGGCUAAUUCAUGUUCAGCCCUGUCUUUAAUCCCAGGGGAAGGAAGGAAACCUUCUAAAUCUCUCUGUCAAAAAUGGAGGUAGCCAGGCUGCAAAGGAAGACAUGACAAGCUGACUGUGUAGAACUUGUGUGAGCAGUUAAUUCAAUUAGGUCUUUAAUGCAAAUAAGUGUGGUAUUCUGUUACACUUUUAUGGCUUGGAGUUAGGGCUCAAAUAAACUUUUUUUAGGACUU
ensembl:lncRNA